UGGGGAAUAUUGGACAAUGGGCGAAAGCCUGAUCCAGCCAUGCCGCGUGUGUGAAGAAGGUCUUCGGAUUGUAAAGCACUUUAAGUUGGGAGGAAGGGCAUUAACCUAAUACGUUAGUGUUUUGACGUUACCGACAGAAUAAGCACCGGCUAACUCUGUGCCAGCAGCCGCGGUAAUACAGAGGGUGCAAGCGUUAAUCGGAAUUACUGGGCGUAAAGCGCGCGUAGGUGGUUUGUUAAGUUGGAUGUGAAAUCCCCGGGCUCAACCUGGGAACGGCAUUCAAAACUGACUGACUAGAGUAUGGUAGAGGGUGGUGGAAUUUCCUGUGUAGCGGUGAAAUGCGUAGAUAUAGGAAGGAACACCAGUGGCGAAGGCGACCACCUGGACUAAUACUGACACUGAGGUGCGAAAGCGUGGGGAGCAAACA
rnacentral:rRNA from 1 species